CCUACGGGGGGCAGCAGUGGGGAAUAUUGCACAAUGGGGGAAACCCUGAUGCAGCGACGCCGCGUGAGCGAUGAAGUAUUUCGGUAUGUAAAGCUCUAUCAGCAGGGAAGAAAAUGACGGUACCUGACUAAGAAGCCCCGGCUAACUACGUGCCAGCAGCCGCGGUAAUACGUAGGGGGCAAGCGUUAUCCGGAUUUACUGGGUGUAAAGGGAGCGUAGACGGCUGUGCAAGCCAGAUGUGAAAGCCCGGGGCUCAACCCCGGGACUGCAUUUGGAACUGUGUGGCUGGAGUGUCGGAGAGGCAGCCGGAAUUCCGAGUGGAGCGGUGAAAUGUGUAGAUAUUAGGAGGAAGACCAGUGGCGAAGGCGGCCUGCUGGACGAUGACUGACGUUGAGGCUCGAAAGCGUGGGGAGCAAACAGGAUUAGAUACCCGAGUAGUC
rnacentral:rRNA from 1 species